rnacentral:lncRNA from 1 species
UAUUAGUAAUUAUUUUAUUUUUUGAAUUAGGUUGUGUAGUAGUGAGUAGUAGUUCAUUAUUUUACUAUUCAUAGUUUCGUCAUUUUAGUUGCUUAAUUAUUUUCAUGUCGGUUUUAGGAGUAAGCUCUUUGCUUUUAGGAUGCAUCCUAAUAACUCGCCAGUUUAGGUACCUUUCUCGAUGAUAAAUAGAUAACGACCGUCCUAAAGGGAAUUAGUCUUUGGGAGUGAAU